CAUCAUCACCAUCACCAUCAUCAUCAUCAUCAUCAUCAUCACCACCAUCUUCAUCUGCUUCCUCUUUCUCAUCAGUCAGACCUUCACCGUUCACAGGCGUUUCCAGAUCUUCUACAUCACUGGCGUGUCUAAACACAUCAGCAGGCUCUUCUCUGAUCCUCCCUCCGGUUCUGGUUCUUCUGGUUCUGAUCAUCGCUGGACUCUUAUUACUGUUUCUCUGUAAGAAGCAUCAGUCUCGAGGUGGUGAUUCAUCAUCUCAGACUGGACCAGGAAAACAUGAAGUGGUUUCUAACACUGGUUGUGAUUAUGAGGAGAUUAAAGACACUCACAAACAAUUACCCACAAGCCCCUCUGAUUCUUCUGACAUUGUUUAUGCCACUGCCCAAUUACCCACAAACCCCUCUGUUUCCUCUAACUGUAUUUACGCUACAGUUGAGAAAGUCUCUGGAGACUCUCAGUGCCGCAUCUCAUCUGCUGAGGAUCUGAAUUACGCAGUGGUUUAUUUCCACAAGAGAUCAGACUGUCCUGACAGUGUCAGUUUCAGGAAUAAUCAGGAUUACAGUGAAUACGCUGCUGUCAAUCAUUUCACUGCUUGAAGAGCCACAGCAGAGAAUAUAAAUGAGAUGAAUGUUUUUAUCAUCUUGUCUUUGGCGUUAAAGGUUUAGUUCACCCAGAAAUGAAAAUUCUGUCAUUUAUU